GGUAUCUGGUAUGAAGACAACCGCUGAAAAUCGGUGCGCGGGCGAGGGGAAGGAAUAAAUAGCGGAAGCUUCCGCUAUUUUUUCCUUCCCUUCCCCUCGCCCGCGCACUGAUUUUCAGCGGUUGUCUUCAUACCAGAUACCU